rnacentral:rRNA from 1 species
UACGUAGGGUCCGAGCGUUGUCCGGAAUUAUUGGGCGUAAAGAGCUCGUAGGCGGUUUGUCGCGUCUGCUGUGAAAUCCCGAGGCUCAACCUCGGGCCUGCAGUGGGUACGGGCAGACUAGAGUGCGGUAGGGGAGACUGGAAUUCCCGGUGUAGCGGUGAAAUGCGCAGAUAUCAGGAGGAACACCGGAGGCGAAGGCGGGGCUCUGGGCGGUAACUGACGCUGAGAAGCGAAAGCAUGGGGAGCGAACAGG